rnacentral:lncRNA from 10 species
UAAAGUCAUGUGCUCACCCUUGGUUCAAUCGACUAUGGCCAAGGUGGGUGAGUUAAGUUUCUGAGCAAAGAUGGUGACUGGGAGUCCAUUUCUGCCAUGUGGAUUGAAGGUGGGGAAGAAAGGGAGUGUCAGCUGUGGACAACUUGGCAGAGGACACUGGGAGCAGCUCUAUUGGAAGGUCUAUGUGGAACUAGAUUUUCCUCAACGAGGAAACUAGAACUUUCCUCAACGAGGAACUGAGGUCUCCAUCAACACUGUGCAGGAGUCUUCUUGGAAGUGGAUCCUCCAGCCCUGGUCAGGCCUUCAGAUGUCAGCAGCCCUCGCUGACAUCUGGACUACAACCUCAAGAGACCCUAAGCCAGGCCACCCAGUGAAGCUGCUCCCAGAUUCCUGACUCUCAGAAGCUGUGUGAGAUAAAAAAUACAAUGUUUAUUGCUUUAAGCUGUCAAAUUUUAAGGUAAUUUAUUAUGCAAUAAUAAAGAACUAAUACAGUAUUGUAAAAAAUUAAUAUCUUUUAAAUUUUAAUUUCUAAUUCUUUGUUUCUGUCAUGUAGAAAUUAUUAAAAUAUUGACCUCGAUCCUGUGUUCUUUCUAAAAUUGGCUGUUUUGCAGAUUUUAAAGGAUUUCUACAUAAGCAAUCGUGUCAUCUGUGACAAAGAUGGUUUUACUUCUUUUGAUAUCUAGAUGCCUUUUGUUUAUUUUGCUGCCUUAUUAAAGUUGUCAAGACCUUCAGUAUAAUGUUGAAUAAAAGUGGUGAG